rnacentral:misc_RNA from 1 species
AAGUUUGGUUGUCUCUCUUCCAGGUACUUCUACCAGUGCAUUCAGGACAUUCUGAAAUGCUCUAAAAAGCAUACUUCUCCACCUGUUUCUCUUCUUGGACAGUUGUUAUGGCGCGACUUUUUCUACACAGCUGCCUUUGGAACUCCUAAUUUUGAUCAGAUGAAGGGUAACAGAAUAUGCAAACAGAUACCUUGGAAGAAUGAUGAUGAAUUGCUAGCUGCUUGGAGAGAUUCCAAGACAGGGUUUCCUUGGAUUGAUGCCAUAAUGGUCCAGCUUCGAAAGUGGGGUUGGAUCCAUCAUCUUGCUCGACACAGUGUAGCAUGCUUUCUAACUCGUG